rnacentral:rRNA from 1 species
UACGUAGGGCGCGAGCGUUGUCCGGAAUUAUUGGGCGUAAAGAGCUCGUAGGCGGCCGGUUGCGUCUGCUGUGAAAUCCCGGGGCUUAACCCCGGGCGUGCAGUGGAUACGGGCCGGCUGGGGGCAGGCAGGGGAGAAUGGAAUUCCCGGUGUAGCGGUGGAAUGCGCAGAUAUCAGGAGGAAUACCCAUAGCGAAGGCAGCUCGCUGGGACGUUACUGACGCUGAGGCGCGAAAGCGUGGGGAGCGAACAGG